rnacentral:rRNA from 1 species
UGCAAGUCGACGGUGUCUUCGGACACAGUGGCGGACGGGUGAGUAACGCGUGAGAAUCUGCCAUCAGGUCUGGGACAACCACUGGAAACGGUGGCUAAUACCGGAUGUGCCGAGAGGUGAAAGGUUAACUGCCUGUUGAUGAGCUCGCGUCUGAUUAGCUAGUUGGCAGUGUAAUGGACUACCAAGGCGACGAUCAGUAGCUGGUCUGAGAGGAUGAUCAGCCACACUGGGACUGAGACACGGCCCAGACUCCUACGGGAGGCAGCAGUGGGGAAUUUUCCGCAAUGGGCGAAAGCCUGACGGAGCAAUACCGCGUGAGGGAGGAAGGCUCUUGGGUCGUAAACCUCUUUUCUCAGGGAAGAACAAAAUGACGGUACCUGAGGAAUAAGCAUCGGCUAACUCCGUGCCAGCAGCCGCGGUAAUACGGAGGAUGCAAGCGUUAUCCGGAAUGAUUGGGCGUAAAGCGUCCGCAGGUGGCUAUGUAAGUCUGCUGUUAAAGCGUCUAGCUCAACUAGAUAAGAGCAGUGGAAACUACAAGGCUAGAGUGCGUUCGGGGCAGAGGGAAUUCCUGGUGUAGCGGUGAAAUGCGUAGAGAUCAGGAAGAACACCGGUGGCGAAGGCGCUCUGCUAGGCCGCAACUGACACUGAGGGACGAAAGCUAGGGGAGCGAAUGGGAUUAGAUACCCCAGUAGUCCUAGCCGUAAACGAUGGAUACUAGGCGUGGCUUGUAUCGACCCGAGCCGUGCCGUAGCUAACGCGUUAAGUAUCCCGCCUGGGGAGUACGCACGCAAGUGUGAAACUCAAGGAAUGACGGGGGCCCGCACAAGCGG